GGAUGGUUGCCGGAGUGGCAACGGGUCGGCUUGCUAAGCCGUAGCCGGUCAGCAAUGGCCGCCGAGGUUCGAACCCUCGACCAUCCGCCA
rnacentral:tRNA from 2 species